UACGGAGGGUGCAAGCGUUAUCCGGAUUUACUGGGUUUAAAGGGUGCGUAGGUGGGUUUGUAAGUCAGUGGUGAAAUCUCCAAGCUUAACUUGGAAACUGCCGUUGAUACUAUAAAUCUUGAAUGUUGUGGAGGUGAGCGGAAUAUGUCAUGUAGCGGUGAAAUGCUUAGAUAUGACAUAGAACACCAAUUGCGAAGGCAGCUCACUACACAAAGAUUGACACUGAGGCACGAAAGCGUGGGGAUCAAACAGG
rnacentral:rRNA from 1 species